GAAUCAAGAUUCUCUGAUCACGAGUUCCACACAUUAUGGGUACCGGGGUCAGGAGUCCCAUUGGUUGGGAUUUUUCGAUCAGGGUUACAUAUCGAUGAAUUCUGAUGCCUGAUUGCCCAUCGGAUUUGGACUCAAUAUUUAUGAAAAAUUUAAUUAGUGAUUUGAUCGCUAAUUAACUCAAUUUGAUUGAGUAAUUAUUUUUGGAUCAAGUU
rnacentral:lncRNA from 1 species